UACGGGGGGAGCAAGCGUUGUUCGGAUUUACUGGGCGUAAAGGGCGCGUAGGCGGUCAGCACAAGUCAGUUGUGAAAUCUCCGGGCUUAACUCGGAAAGGUCAACUGAUACUGUGCGACUAGAGUGCAGAAGGGGCAACUGGAAUUCUCGGUGUAGCGGUGAAAUGCGUAGAUAUCGAGAGGAACACCUGCGGCGAAGGCGGGUUGCUGGGCUGACACUGACGCUGAUGCGCGAAAGCCAGGGGAGCGAACGGGAUUAAGAAACCCGUGGUAG
rnacentral:rRNA from 1 species